AUUGAACGCUGGCGGCAUGCUUUACACAUGCAAGUCGGACGGCAGCACAGAGAAGCUUGCUUCUUGGGUGGCGAGUGGCGAACGGGUGAGUAAUAUAUCGGAACGUACCGAGUAAUGGGGGAUAACUAAUCGAAAGAUUAGCUAAUACCGCAUAUUCUCUGAGGAGGAAAGCAGGGGACCUUCGGGCCUUGCGUUAUUCGAGCGGCCGAUAUCUGAUUAGCUAGUUGGUGGGGUAAAGGCCUACCAAGGCGACGAUCAGUAGCGGGUCUGAGAGGAUGAUCCGCCACACUGGAACUGAGACACGGCCCAGACUCCUACGGGAGGCAGCAGUGGGGAAUUUUGGACAAUGGGCGCAAGCCUGAUCCAGCCAUGCCGCGUGUCUGAAGAAGGCCUUCGGGUUGUAAAGGACUUUUGUCAGGGAAGAAAAGGCUGUUGCUAAUAUCAAUAGCUGAUGACGGUACCUGAAGAAUAAGCACCGGCUAACUACGUG
rnacentral:rRNA from 1 species